AGUGGCCAUGCUAACUCUUCUAGGAAGAUGAGGAUUCUCAAGUGUUUCUGAAAUCUCCAGGUAAUAGCGAACCCCCAAAACCCUGUAUGCUAGGAGCGGGGACUGGGGCAAACUAGAGUCAGGACAUGGAGUUGGUUUCUGUAGCAGUCAUGAAGCUGGUGGCAGAGGCGCUGCCGAGAGCCGAGCACUCCAUCCGCAGGGGAGGAGACUCUAGAGAGAAAACAUGCUGAGACAGAACCAGAGAGGCCUUCCAACAAGGUUCUCCCCUUCUUGCUCAAGAAAAGAGCCGGCAGAGGCAGUGUGCCCAGCGAGAAGACCACCUCCCUGGUCCUCCCUGUUGCUAGGGAGAAGUAGGCAGGGAGCCGUGCUGGCCAAUGACAUUAUGUUUGUCAGAAUUGCUAGGCUCCCAAGGAAGCUUUUUAAAAGGAGGACAGAUUGAGCUGGCAUCUGUCUUUUGCCCGUCCCCUCUUCCUCCCUGGAACAUGGACACAAUGCCAGUAAAAACACUACCAUCUUAUGACCAAAAACCUGAAAGCUGAUGCUUUAGGGUUAGUAGAGCAGAAAGACAGGAGCCGGCCCGGCGGAGAUGCCUCUGAAGAGCCGCACCAGCCCUGGACUUCCUGUCUCCAGCUUCUGGACAUGCCCAGGGAUACUCCACUGCACAGGGACACCUUCACUGCUGACUGCUGGCUUCUGUGAGUAGUGCUGCCAGGGACACAGAAGAAUGAACCCAAGGGCACUUAAUUAUUAUGCCAUAUCUCCAGACCUUUUCAUUGAGAUGGGUUGUUUUUCUGCUCUUGAGGUAAUCUAUAACCUUUAUUAGUUUAGUUUGGUACUGGGGUGAUCUACCACAGAGCUACAUACCCCUUUUAUUUUAUUUUUCAGACAGUCUUGCUAAGUUGCUUAGGAUCUCCCUAAAUUACUGAGGCUGGCCUUGAACUUAUGAUCCUCCUGCCUCUGCCUCCCAAGUCAUUAGGAUUAUAGGCAUGUGCAUGGCACCUGGCAGAGGGAAUCCAUAUCUUUAUAUCAAUCCUGCAAUAUUGAUAUUUUCAUGAUUAUUGUAUAGAUGAGAAAACUGAAGCUCAAAGAGGUUAACUGAUUGAUCCACUGUUGCCAAUUGGGAAGCAACAAAGCCCACACAGGCAGGUCUAACCACAGAGUUAUGUCCUUUCCAUCCUGCAUUCUUCUUACAGAACUUAGAUAUUAUUACUGACAAUGGCUGUAUGGCCCUGAACGUGAAGUAGAGAAAGCAUAACAGGUAAGGGUGAAAUAAGAGGUAAGGGUUGAGAGAACAUCAGUUUUGUUUUUGAGAAUAGCAUAAAAAUAUAGAACCAUGAUGACAAAUUUUACACUGUAUUCAACACUAGCUAGGAUCUCUAAUAAUAGAAUAUGGUAUUCAAUUUUAAGUAGUAUACAAUUUAAGAGACAUCUAAAGAAUUGGAAAGUUCACAAGGAUUUAAAAAAAAAAAACAGUUCAGUGUGUUCUAAAGCAAAAGCUCCUUUAUGUGAUAAAACUGAAGAGUUCCAAUUGGUAUAGAGAAAAACAAGUGAAGAAUAGUCUUUCAAAUAAACUGAACCUCAUUUUAACCCUUAAUAGUGAGAUCCUUGAAUGUGAUCUAAAACAGAAGACCUUCAUUCUGGAAUGCGCAUUGUAACAGGUUUCCAGUAAGGUUCUGAAUGCAUAUCAGAGGUUGUUACCUAAAGAGUAGGCAACAGUCUUUCAUUCUUUUAUAGUAAAUGGUUUUACAACACUGCAAGAAACAGGAUAGAAAAAUUAAGUAAUUUAUAAGGAAAGUUAUUCUGAUUUUGAAGAUUUUUUAAAUAAAAUAAUGAUAAAAGAUGAUAAAAUAAAAUGAAAUGUUAAACUUCAUGGUAUAAAUUCUAAGUCUCAAGGGAUUUAAAAAACAUGGCAAGAUACAUGUAAUUAUAUGAGUAAAGAUUAUUGGAGGAGAUUAAUUUAACUGGACUCUUAUGACAGAAAGGAUUUGCAUAUGUAGACAGGCAUUCCAAAUGCUAACACAAUAAACAAAGGCAGAAAUUUGAAAUUUUACUCAGCUUCUUUUUUUCUUUCCUUUUCUCCCUCUCUCUCUCCCUCUCUCUCUCGCUGGGCAAUCAUCCUACCACUUAGCUACAUCUCUAGCCCUCAGUCAGAAUUUCUUAAGUCCCUGCUAUGGACUGGGCCCUGUGCUGGGGUUUCAAACACACCCUGACUUCCAGGGAAUGACACAGUCAGGCAACCCCCGAAGACCCCAGAAUGUCAGGAAUGCCAUGAAAGAGGUGCUCCCAGAGUUCUGAUGGAGCAGAGUCAAAACCGUCUAAUUAGGACAGGGCUGGAGCAGGAUGGGGCUGGACAGGAGAGAAGGAGGUAAGGACAAUCAGAAUCAGCAUGCUGGGGAGUGAGAGGUGCCCAGACCCUGGAACUUUCACCUACUUAACCGAGCAGAGAACAGCAGGCUACACAACAGCGUGAGAAUGCUACUUAGUUUCCAGAUGCUAGCUGUCACAUGCUUCCCAAAGCAUACAGACACAUCUUCAAACAGCAAGGUGACAUAUAAGGUAUCUGGGCCCCUGCCCCAAAAGACAAUCAGUUCUUGUCAAGCAACCCACUGAGAGAAGUCAUAUUUAAUAUUGUCUAAGGCAUACAAUUCAUUGUCCUCAAAGUGAUUGUUAUCUUACCUGUGGAUUGAAUGGCCUACAAAGAGAUUUAGACUACACUGGUUUUCCCACUUUACAAACUAUAAUCAUUAAGGUGUACUACACAAUAUUUUACCUUCUUACAGAUGAUGCUGAGAAGUUGCCAUAUGCAAUAUGUUGCUCUGUUAGCUUGCUGAGGGUACUACUGUUUCAUCUGAGGUACUCUAAAUUUAUGUAAAACAUUUCCCUUGGACAAGAACUAGGAGAAAGCUUGAUUUUCUCCCAGUAUGUCUUUCUUUUUGAUAGAGAACUUUUUCUCUAUAUUCCCAUUUAUCAUGUUCUUGUCUGCCUGGCUGUCAGGAGACUCAGAACUAAAUUUUACCUCAAUUCCAGUAAAAUUUUAUGAUCUUAUAUGUAAAGCAAUUGAAUUAUUUUAUUUUUUGGCCCUGAGCUUCCUUUUAUAUGUUACUAUUUUAUUACAUGUGGUUUUGUAUUUUAAAACCAUGUGCUAAGAGAUGAAAAGUAUAUGUUGUACCCAUCUGAAGGAAACUGCCAGAAAUGCCCAAACUGGCAUCUUGGCAUUCCCUAAUCACACCGCAGUGGCAUCAGGCUGACACUGUCCCACCUUUCGGCCCAGGAGAGACAGCUCUGAGCUCACCAGCAGCUGGAAGAAUGAGUGAAUGAAUGAUGGGAAGCAGUCUGACUGCAUCUUCUGAAGACUGAAAGCAAAGGUAGAGAAACAAGCUCCCCUGGAGACGGCUAGCCACAAGUACAGCAGUGCUGUUAACCUGGGCGACAGCAGAAGCCAGCUGCUGAGGCGACAGAUGACCUGGUCAGAGGGACCGACUGACAGAGUUGCCGUACAGCCAGGAGAGCUGCUAAUUAUCCCAAAUAAAGUCGCAGGUUUUCAUGAGGUCUGGCUCUCAGGCUUUUCCCCCCUGUGUUUACAGACAAUAACUUCUCUUGACAGAGGUAAAUUGAGGGUGUCUCUCUUCUUGAUAAUCAAAAGGCUAUUGUGGACAGCUCAAAUCCUCUGUGUAAAGAGGAGGGUAAGUAUGUGUACACAUGCACAAUAGCGAUUUAUUUUGGAGAACAGUAAGCAAGGAUGACUAUAUAUAAAACAAAAGACUUAAGAGGAGUCCUGUUUCUUUUUCCUGUUUUGCACUGGAGGUUGAGGCCAGGGGCGCUUUGCCACUGACCUACAUCCCUGGUUCCUUUUUAUUUUUUAUUUUGAGAUAAGGUCUUAUUAAGUUGCUCAAGCUGGUCUCAAACUUGCAAUCCUCCUGCCUCAGCUUCCCAAGUCACUGGGAAUCCAAGUGUGUGCCAUCACACCUGGCAGAGGAGUCCAUAUUUCUAAGAAACAACUUUAGUUUCGAAAAUUCCAUUUCCAAUAUCUGGCUAAAAACUAUGACCAGUUCAUUACCUAAUAAUAAUUGCAGCUCAGCCAUCACAAGUUAAAAACUCUUGUCAAAUCCCCAAAUAUCUUCAUUUGUGCUUGUCACAUGUCUUAAUUUCCCUACGAAGCAAAUAUGAAGUGAAUGGAAGGGAGAAUUUUUCAGUAUACCAGAAAUAAAAAGUAGUGAUUCUUGGACCUAACAGCAAGAAACUAGCAACAACACUAGAGCAAUUUCCACCUGGAUGACUUUCUUCUUCACUUCCUCCUAUAACUGGGUUGAUUUCCCAACUUACAGCCCAUAUCAUGCUGGGGGCACGGGUUAUGUUUUAUUGAUGUAGCUAUGGGGGUAAUUCACACAUUCAAGCUGCUCCUCUCUGGAGUCAGAUAACUUGAUUACCCAGACUUAGGUUUCAAGAGCAGAGAGCCCCUUGAUACCUACGGUGGUAAUUGGAAAUACCUACAUGUUUGAAAGAUGAGAACAGAAAAGAAUAAGUGACUAUUGUUUCAGUUUUACUAGCGAUGCUCUUCAGUCUGAGAACUUGAAGGAGACUGAAUCUCUUCUUUAUAAUUUGAAAGAUUAAAGGAUAAAUAUCAGUGCCGAUCAUGUCAACAGGGCAAUAUACACUUCAAGUCAUCCUUCCCUAAGCCCUGCAAUUAAACACCUACACUCCUUGGGCUCAGUGCAAACUCUACAGAUCAGGUAGGCAGAGUUGUAAAUAUUUCCAUGUGUAAAGCUUGCUUUUUCCAAAGGCAGGCAUGGCUUAGCAUGCCAUUUUCUUUCUUCAGAAUAUUCAGGAAGAAUUAUGUCCUGAGGACACAAGGACGGUAAAGCAAAGGUAUGUGGCUAUAACAAGGAUCCCAUGAAACUAGCAGGAAGGUGUGUGAGUCACGGGAUGCACAGCCCAGAGGAUGCACUGAUGACCUGGAUUGAGACAUAUAAAGACUCACCAAGAGGGCAAUGUAACCUGGGUUACUUGCAUAGUUCAGGGCUACAAGAUAGGACUGGCUCUUCCUUCACUCAAAAUGAGCGGAUAUUAUACAGGACCACACAACUCUGCUACAAGAUGCGGCGGUAGGUACGAGUCCAACAAUCCAGGUGCCAGGCAUUUUUUUCCAGGAGGUGUGUGUGCUUCUGUAGUGUAAGUGUAAUUUGAGAAAGCAGCCACUGCACAGCCUCCUCUCUUUAUAACAAAGUAGUAAUUGUUAACAAUCGAAGAUUCAUCACUCUUCUCUUGGGAUUUCGCCAGCUCAGCAAGAGACAAUAUCAAUUUUCAGAUGUUAUCUUUCUCAGUAGCCUAUUUCUUAAUCCAUUUUAGAAACAGAGUUCCUUGGUUUUCUUUAAGGCAUACGAAUCUCCUUUGGGUGGGUUCUUAGAAGUCCCCUCCCCACAAACUGAAAGCCAGGGUGUCUUCUCCCCAACUCACAACCAGGUAGUUCAGCUACACUGGAGAUUUGUUGCCAGAUCUAGAAAUAGUUUACUAAAUGAAAUGAAGGAGGCCUCAGGACAGGAAAGCAUGAAAUGUCAAUGGCUGGCAGCCAGGUGACUUUGCCAUGUAGAAAGAUCUACAUCCUUCUUGUGUGGCUGCAGCCAGAUCAAGGCUAGCAAACACACAUUGUUAAAACAUCACUUGUGUAACCAGACUAUAAUGAAGCGCUAUGACAGUUGCUUAGAACUGGGUGACAUUAACCUAAUUCAUACGUCUGUGUGUGUGUGUGUGUGUGUGUGUGUGUGUGUGUGUAUAUUUGCAAGUUCCUGGAAAUGAAAAUUAAAGAUGUUCUUCCUAUUGAUGUUUGUUUUAAUUAUGUGCAUGUUGGAUGUGGUAGGGAGAAGUCGGUGUGGUUAUAGGAAGAAAAGAGAAAGAAGCUCGGAAAGAAGUUGAUUACACUCAAAAGUCCCAGAGAGGAGGUCACACUGCAUGCCACAUGGUCACUGGUCACAGGAAAUCAGUGUUGGUCAAAAGACAGAAGACAGAGUGAGGGGAGGGUCUUGGCCAGAGUCUUCACUGGGUAAUAUAAGACAUGGCAGGCAAACAGGUUAGGAUGGGCUCAUUGGAAUAAUUCCAGUGGGCUCUGGAAUUCCAGGGUGGUCUCAAGCUGCCCAGCCAUGGGAUGACGAGGGCAGGAGAAACUUUGCCUGGUGUGGGAGAAAUAAAUAAAGAGGUGGCUGGGUGUACCAACUUGGGAUUGGCUUGUUUCAUAUAAAGCCCGUGUUCAUGGCCAGUUGUUAGUAUCUCCAGGAAUGAACUAGCUCUGUGUGGGGACAGCCCCUCCCCCGUUGGUAAAUCAUCAAGAAUACAGUUCAGAUAAUGGGCAUAUAUAUGUAGUUUAUAGAGCUGACAUAAUGCAGUAAGACAAAUAUAGAUCCCGAGUAAACAGAACCAGGUCUGCAUUAAAUGCGACACUUGCCUGGGGCAGCACACAGGGUCUCAGACAGGCUUUAGUUCCUAAUAUCCUUCAGCACUGUGCCCUCCGUUCUCUGAUACGGACAAGCCUUGUUUUCUCAGUAUUCACGGCGGUUAGGCAAACACACUGCAAAUCCUUUAAUCUAACCCAUCCACCUCCCUAAACCCAUUUAAAAGAAGGUUCUAGGACUGUCAUAACUGGCAAAGAUACUCGUUUAUGAUUAUGGCUGAAACGCAUCUCUGUCAUCUACACUGUGUUCAGGACAAAAAGCAAGCAUGCCUCAGGUGAUAGGCUGUGGCCUCUUGGGGUCUGCCUCCUCACUCUGUAAGCCACCUAACUCCCCUGCCCCAGGAGAGAUAGCCCAUUGCUAUCUGCCACACGCCAGGGUCAUGGGCCUGCUGUGGGGGCCUCCCAGUAGUGACUCUGGGCCAUGGGAGGCUGGCUUCUGGGGUGCCCUGGCCUCUGCUCUGCCCUGUGCACCCACGUGCUGUGGCUUGUUGUCUCCCCAUCUCAGCCAAUCCAAGGCCCAGCCUCAGCAGCACAGCUAUGCACAGCGCAGGCUCAGAGGGCUGUGCUCGCUACCGAGGUAUCCAAGUUGAGAGAGAGGCUCUUUCCCCAGGCUUCUUUGCAAAGAUCCUACAUUGCCAGGUACUGUUCAGGGUGGACUGUAAGAGAUAUUCAUGAGAGAGGUUCAAGAAAAGAGAUAUUAAACUGUGGCUGGUCCAAGUCUCACAGCAUUGGAAGCAGAUGGACAUGAGUACUUCUUGGCAGGCCAUCAGUUUGGUUUGGAGCUUGAUGUCACAUUCAUUCUUCUGGCUGCCAGUCUCCUGAAGGAAAUAUUGACCUUCUCACUUUAGUUUUCUAUAUCUUGAGUUGUUCAUCAUCGGACAGGCUGCUAAGUAUCAGUAUUAAAGGACCACUGGCUAAGUAUCACUAUAGGCUAUCUUCAGUUUCUCUGGUACCUUCUGGUAGCUAACCAAGCCAUGGAUUUGGCGUUCCCGUCUCUCUUCUCAUUCCUUUCUGGAAAGAGUUUAGAUGGGCUGGGGAAAGAUAUUUGAAGUUUUCUGAUCCAAUGUAAAUGAACCCUGUGGUGGGUAAAUAAUUUUCCUCUUUCCUUUGCUCUCCUGGGGUAUUUUAAUGAAUAAUGCUUCUCAAAUAAGUAUAUAAAUAUUCCCCAAGAGAUAAGGAGAAUAUUAAGCUCAAAGCAUGUGUGCCAUUAAUAUUUUGUGUGUAGGGGAGUGCAAAGAGCAGAGGAAUCAUCAGAGCCUUGAGUUUUCAUAGAAUUUUCUGGAAAGUUUUGAAGCCCACAGCUGGAAAGAAAAUACUGAGGGCAGCAUUAGUGAAGUGUGGAUACAGCUUCACAAGAUCAAGUUUGACAACUCCUUCAAUGUAUGAGUUUUUUUUGGAUGGGUGUAGGAUGGGGCUUACAGUUUGUUUUGCUGCCAAUUACAGCAUAUGUUAUUUAAAAUAACUCAGCAAAAAGCAUAAUUUAUCAACCUCACCAAGACGUUAAAGAAAAUUUUUUGUUCUCUCCUAUCUCCCAUUAUCUGAAAGGCCAGUUCACAACUACCUAACUUUAGUCUCAAAGCCUUCUUUAAUAAAUAUCCAUUCUCUAUCGAGACGAUUGCAACUUGAUCUUCAAAAGAUCAUGUUUCCCAAUGUAUUCAGUUACAUCAUUUUACCUGUGAUAACUAGAGUAUGGCUUUAGUUUCUUUCUUUAACUCAAAGACCCCAUGUUAAAAAAAAAAACAAUCUCUAGUGAUAGUAGAGAAAUUUCUUACUGCCAGAGCGCCACCUACUGGUACAUCAUUA